rnacentral:rRNA from 1 species
UAUGCACGCUGGCGGCGUGCCUAAUACAUGCAAGUCGAGCGAACAGAUGAGGAGCUUGCUCCUCUGACGUUAGCGGCGGACGGGUGAGUAACACGUGGAUAACCUACCUAUAAGACUGGGAUAACUUCGGGAAACCGGAGCUAAUACCGGAUAAUAUAUUGAACCGCAUGGUUCAAUAGUGAAAGACGGUUUUGCUGUCACUUAUAGAUGGAUCCGCGCCGCAUUAGCUAGUUGGUAAGGUAACGGCUUACCAAGGCAACGAUGCGUAGCCGACCUGAGAGGGUGAUCGGCCACACUGGAACUGAGACACGGUCCAGACUCCUACGGGAGGCAGCAGUAGGGAAUCUUCCGCAAUGGGCGAAAGCCUGACGGAGCAACGCCGCGUGAGUGAUGAAGGUCUUCGGAUCGUAAAACUCUGUUAUUAGGGAAGAACAAAUGUGUAAGUAACUAUGCACGUCUUGACGGUACCGAAUCAGAAAGCCACGGCUAACUACGU